rnacentral:snRNA from 1 species
AUACUUAUCUAGCAGGGGAGAUACCCUGAUCGCAAAGGUGGUUUUCACAAGGGGAGGCUUAUCCAUUGCACUCCAGAUAUACUGACCCCUGCAAUUUCCCCAAAUGUGGGAAACUCGGCUGCAUCAUUUGUGGUAGAGAAGGAUUCUGUUCACACUCUCCCUUG